GAGUCUCAGGAUCUCUGCUCCAGUUGUAGGGAUAGAAUAAUCGGGCUGUGAUCCAAGCCUAUUGUUGGUAGGGCAAAAGUCUGCACAUUUGGGUGUAAGCACAGCCCUUGCUCUCAAGAUCCAUCAAAGAACAAUCAUCUAAAAAACCCCGGAAGGCUGCCAUUUUGUAUCGGUCUACCUCCCUACAACCAACCUUUUCCCAAUGAUAAAGUUAUCACAGUACUUGUCUUGAGCGGGUUGGACAAGUUAAGCAACACUCUGGCUUUUCCACUUUUCUUGGAGUUAGCACCUCUCACCUCAAUUUUUAUCUCAUCUAUUGUCCCCAGUUUAAAGGCUAAGAGGCGUAUGGCUUCUUCAUGAACUCUGGCACGAGGAAGACCUAUAAAGUGAACCCAUAACGCAUAAUGCGUGAAUUCAUAACAGUGCUCAGAAUGUCAUCCCUUAGAUCCUGAAGUCUUCUUCAGACCACAGAUCUCCCAUUCUCCGACACACCACCGCUAAUCGAAG